UUUCACUGACGGGGGGAGCGGGCAGUAAAACCCCCUAGGUCAUUUCCCAGCGAGAACACAAAGCACAGACCCUUUCCUCAGAGCCCCUGGUGUGGUGAUUUUUCUAAUCAGGGUGGUAAUAAAGCCUGUAGGUUUGCGCACCCCCAUCCAGGCGGAGAAUGUAGGGACAAGGAAAGCUUCAGCCAGGCCACCAAUCAGGACAAAGAGGAGGGAAGGAGGUAGUCCCCGCUGAGCCAGUCAGGACUCAAGAGCGCCUCAUCUGCAGGGUCCAGGCGGCAAGUGCCAUGAACAUGGACAGAAGAGCAAAGUCCAACCUGUGGGCAAAUCCUUCCACGCAAGCCUGCACUGCGCGUGAGCAUGGCUGGCCUUUCAGGUCAUAUGUGAAGGGCUCACCGGUAGUAUCUGGAACAGAGGAUUUCCCAGAGCAGCUCAGAACCACUGGUCCAGCGACUCCUUUGUCCCACCCCAGUAAUACCAGAUCAGAACCACUGCGCUCAGGUCUCACUGCAGAGCAGACAGUUCCCCUACCUGGGUUCGCUUGCUGGCAUCCUGCCUCCUGCCACCCCAGUUCACAUCGCCUGAGUCCAGCAGCUUGUUUCUGCUAACCGCCUUGGCCUGCUACUUUGGUGGGAAGCAGCAAAGACCCAUGAGACACCCAGUGUGCUGCAGCCCCUGGGAUGGGGCUGACCCUCGCAGCAAGGAAUUUGUGACAGCCCCUUAGCUCAGUUUGUAUCACAGCCCCACAGUUUAACCCAUACAGCCAGGGUGCCAACUCCACUGCUCGGUUCUGAAUGCCCCGGGGUGCUGGGAUCUGGAGUUUUACUUUCCAUUGGAAUGCUGAGUCCAUCCCACCAUGCCCCGAACCUUCAUCCCAUCCCAAGUUACCCCUUCUUCCUCCUCUCCCCUCCCCCACAACCUGCCUGGGACGUGGGAAGCAGAGACCCCCUAAGAAUGAAGAGAAAAGCUGUACUCACCUGCCAGCUCCCGCCUCAGCAUGCAGAGCCUCCAGGCCAGCUCCCUCCUGCCCUGCU